GAUGAACGCUGGCGGCGUGCUUAAUACAUGCAAGUCGAACGAGGGACUUUUGUAGCAAUACGAGAGUUUCCUAGUGGCGAACGGGUGCGUAACGCGUUGGUGACCUGCCCUGAAGUGUGGGAUAACAGUUCGAAAGGAUUGCUAAUACCACAUGUGAUCCCGGUUCUAGAAUAUCGGUGAUUAAAGGAGUAAUCCGCUUUAGGAGGGACCUGCGUCCCAUCAGCUAGUUGGUGAGGUAACGGCCCACCAAGGCUACGACGGGUAGGGGACCUGAGAGGGUGGUCCCCCACAUUGGCACUGAAACACGGGCCAAACACCUACGGGAGGCAG
rnacentral:rRNA from 1 species